rnacentral:rRNA from 1 species
AGCAGCCGCGGUAAUUCCAGCUCCAAUAGCGUAUAUUAAAGCUGUUGCAGUUAAAAAGCUCGUAGUUGAAUUUCGGGGUCAGCAGGUCGGUCGUGCCACUGGUAUGAACUGGUCUCGCUGAUCCCUCCCUCUUGACGAACUGUGAUGCCAUUAAUUUGGUGUCGCAGGGAAUCAGGACUGUUACUUUGAAAAAAUUAGAGUGUUUAAAGCAGGCUUUCGCUUGAAUACAUUAGCAUGGAAUAAUGAAAUAGGACGUUUGAUCCUAUUUUGUUGGUUUCUAGGAUUGACGUAAUGAUUAAUAGGGAUAGUUGGGGGCAUUAGUAUUCAAUUGUCAUAGGUGAAAUUCUUGGAUUUAUUGAAGACUAACUACUGCGAAAGCAUUUGCCAAGGAUGUUUUCAUUAAUCAAGAACGAAAGUUAGGGGAUCGAAGACGAUCAGAUACCGUCGUAGUCUUAACCAUAAACUAUGCCGACUAGGGAUCGGAUGAUGUUAAUUUUUUAAUGACUCAUUCGGCGCCUUACG